GACGAACGCUGGCGGCGUGCUUAACACAUGCAAGUCGGGCGGUAAGGCCCUUUCGGGGGUACACGAGCGGCGAACGGGUGAGUAACACGUGGGUGACCUGCCCUUAGCUCUGGGAUAAGCCUGGGAAACUGGGUCUAAUACCGGAUAUGACUCCAUGACGCAUGUUGUGGGGUGGAAAGCCUUGUGCGGCUAGGGAUGGGCCCGCGGCCUAUCAGCUUGUUGGUGGGGUGAUGGCCUACCAAGGCGACGACGGGUAGCCGGCCUGAGAGGGCGACCGGCCACACUGGGACUGAGACACGGCCCAGACUCCUACGGGAGGCAGCAGUGGGGAAUCUUGCGCAAUGGGCGAAAGCCUGACGCAGCGACGCCGCGUGAGGGAUGACGGCCUGG
rnacentral:rRNA from 1 species